rnacentral:rRNA from 1 species
GUGUAGCAAUACACUUGUAAAGCGGCGAACGGGUGAGGAAUACAUGGGUAAUCUACCAUCGAGUGGGGAAUAACCAGCCGAAAGGUUGGCUAAUACCGCGUACGCCUCCGGAUCUUCGGGUUCGGAGGGAAAGCCACACUGUGAGUGCGGCGCUCUUUGAUGAGCUCAUGUCCUAUCAGCUUGUUGGUAGGGUAACGGCCUACCAAGGCUUUGACGGGUAGCUGGUCUGAGAGGACGAUCAGCCACACUGGCACUGCGACACGGGCCAGACUCCUACGGGAGGCAGCAGUAAGGAAUAUUGCGCAAUGGGCGAAAGCCUGACGCAGCGACGCCGCGUGGGGGAUGAAGGUCUUCGGAUUGUAAACCCCUUUCGGGAGGGAAGAUGGAGCGAGCAAUCGUUCGGACGGUACCUCCAGAAGCAGCCACGGCCAACUUCGUGCCAGCAGCCGCGGUAAUACGAAGGUGGCAAGCGUUGUUCGGAUUCACUGGGCGUACAGGGUGUGUAGGCGGUUUGGUAAGCCUUCUGUUAAAGCUUCGGGCCCAACCCGGAAAGCGCAGAGGGUACUGCCAGGCUAGAGGGUGGGAGAGGAGCGCGGAAUUCCCGGUGUAGCGGUGAAAUGCGUAGAGAUCGGGAGGAAGGCCAGUGGCGAAGGCGGCGCUCUGGAACAUGCCUGACGCUGAGACACGAAAGCGUGGGGGAGCAAACAGGAUUAGAUACCCUGGUAGUCCACGCCCUAAACUAUGGAUACUAAGUGUCGGCGGGUUACCGCCGGUGCCGCAGCUAACGCAUUAAGUAUCCCGCCUGGGAAGUACGGCCGCAAGGUUGAAACUCAAAGGAAUUGACGGGGGCCCGCAC